rnacentral:lncRNA from 1 species
CUGCCUCGAUGUUGGAUGGUUCUCCAUCCAAACGCACCGUCAGAUCUUCAUUCAACAAACUCAAUUUCCGUACCUGAAAUUCAAGACGGCAAUUUGGUUGUCGUGCUCCUUUAACAUCUUCUGCCAUUCUUCUAUCAGUUUUACAAGUAUUUCCGAAGGUGUUGUCGCUGAAACUAGCCUAUUGGUCCUCACUAAAUUAUUGGCCUCCUUUUCUAAUGCGGCUAAUUUAGUCUGUAACAUCGCAACCUCUACCUGCAGCCGCUCUUGCUGUUCCUUCCAAUCGGUCUCCAUCCUUGCUUUUUCAGACACCAUGUUUGCCAUCUUUUCCUUUUUUGCCAUCCACUUCUCCUUAACCACAAAUGAAAAUAUGAUGUUUGUUAAGAGCCCCCCUCCUACUUCUUACUAUGGUCCAAUCAAUUGGGUUGAUUCUUCCUUUAAUAACAGAAAAUCCAUCCCAGAUUUAUAUAUAAUAAAGUUUAAGCCGAUUACCAUUGAUCCGUGUCAUAAAUUUAGUAUCCAUAAAAUCUUCCAAUUAUAUUGAAUUAUUUAGAAAUCCGUCAAUAACUUGAUAUAGUCCAUGCCAUCAAACUUGAAAUUUUUCUAAAUUUUUUUUAAAUCAACUAUCAUAAAGAAGUAUCAAAUCAUUUGGCAUAAAAGCUUUUGGUCUAAGCUUACUAUCAUAAUAAGUCUUCUUUCGUUUUUGU